rnacentral:rRNA from 1 species
ACGAACGCUGGCGGCAGGCUUAACACAUGCAAGUCGAACGAUGGCUUCGGCCAUAGUGGCGCACGGGUGAGUAACGCGUGGGAACCUACCCUGAAGUGGGGGAUAACCUCGGGAAACUGAGGCUAAUACCGCAUAUGCCCUGAGGGGCAAAGACUUCGGUCGCUUUAGGACGGGCCCGCGCCCGAUUAGGUAGUUGGUGAGGUAAAGGCUCACCAAGCCGACGAUCGGUAGCUGGUCUGAGAGGAUGAUCAGCCACACUGGGACUGAGACACGGCCCAGACUCCUACGGGAGGCAGCAGUGGGGAAUAUUGGACAAUGGGCGCAAGCCUGAUCCAGCCAUGCCGCGUGAGUGAAGAAGGCCUUCGGGUUGUAAAGCUCUUUCAGCGGGGACGAUGAUGACGGUACCCGCAGAAGAAGCCCCGGCUAACUUCGU